rnacentral:rRNA from 1 species
GACAGAGGGUGCAAACGUUGUUCGGAAUUACUGGGCGUAAAGCGAGUGUAGGCGGUCUCAUAAGUCAGGUGUGAAAGCCCCGGGCUCAACCUGGGAAUUGCAUUCGAGACUGAAUAGCUAGGGUACGGUAGAGGGAAGUGGAAUUUCCGGUGUAGCGGUGAAAUGCGUAGAUAUCGGAAGGAACAUCAGUGGCGAAAGCGACUUCCUGGACCAGUACCGACGUCAGGCACGAAAGCGUGGGGAGCAAACAGGAUAGAAACCCUAGGUAGU